rnacentral:lncRNA from 1 species
UUUUUUUUUUUUUUUUUUUUUUGAGACAGGGUUUCUCUGUGUAGCCCUGGCUGUCCUGGAACUCAUUUUGUAGACCAGGCUGAUCUCGAACUCAGAAAUCUGCCUGCCUCUGCCUCCCGAGUGCUGGGAUUAAAGGCGUGUGCCACCACGCCCGGCUGGAACUCUAAAUUUCUAACUCUUUAUUUGGUCUAUGGAAAAGGUUCUUUUAUUUUCAAGUGCAUUAUAUAGCAAUAUUUUAAAUAUUUCUGUACUACAAAAUCUACAUUAGCAGUAGGUGAAUACUGCUGCCUCUGGAGGCAGAGGGCCAAUGUUUAAUACCAACACAAGUAUCUGUCACAAGUUAUUCAACUUGGUGUAUCCUGCUUUCUAUACACAUAGUAGAUGAUGGAAUUUAUGUCUAUCUAAUAGGUUUUGUGAGCAUUAAACAGUAUAUGUACAUGCCAAAUGCCUAGUAAACAAUUCCUAGUGUAGAUCAGUGUCUGGAGUUAUGUAUUAGUUUUCACUAUGCAUUAAUUAUUAUAGUUGAUAUUAGAGAUUUUGACAUAUGCUUUAAAUUGGAUGAAUUUUCUUAUCUAUUUUUUUCUAUGAUUUUGUUUGUUUGUUUGUUUGUUUGGGUAGGGACUCAUUGUGUCCUUUGCUGGCCUAGGACUCAUGAGAGCAGGCUGAUCUCAGAUUCAUAGAGAUCUUCUAUUUCUACCUCCUUUGUGCUGGGAUUAAAGGCAUGAGCCACCAGGCUCAGCUCUCCUAUGACUUUUUUUUUUUUUUUUUGGAGAUUAUAUAAUCUUUCUCUCUUUUUUAUUGGUUAUUUUAUUUAUUUACAUUUCAAAUGUUUUCCCCCUUCCUGUUCUCCCCUCUGCAAAUCCCCCAUCCUCUAGAGGUGCUCCCCCACCUACCCACCCACUCCUGCCUUACUGCUCUAGCAUCCCACUACACUGGGGCAUCAAGCCUCCACAUUACCAAGGGCCUCCUCUCCAAUUCCAGAUAAGGCCAUCCUAUGCUACAAAAGCAGCUGGAGCCAUGGGUCCACUCAUGUAUACUCUUUGGUUGGUGGCUUAGUCCCUGGGAGCUCUGGUGGGGUUGUGGGGGUGGGGGUGGGGAGUCCAGUUAGUUGGUAUUGUUGUUCUUCCUAUGGGGCUGCAAAUCCCUUCAACUUCUUAAGUCCUUCCCCUAACUCUUCCACUGAGGUCCCUGGGCUCAGUCUGAUGGUUACUGUGAGUAUCUGCAUUUAUGUUCGUCAGGUGCUAGCAGAGCCUCUCAGGAGACAGCUAUACCACGGUCCUGUCAGCUAGCACUUCUUGGCAUCAACAAACAGUUUCAGGGUUUGGUGUCCCCAGUUGGGGCAUCUCUCUGGAUGGCCUUUCCUUUAGUCUCUGCUCUCCUAUGACUUUUAAAAGUAAAAAAUGAAAAAAAAAUAAAGUGAAAAAUGAAUAUAAAAGAAUUAAAUGAUAUAUGUUCUUUUUUCUUUUCUACAGAUUGAUCCUGAAUUGGAGAAAAAAUUGAAAGUGAAUAAAAUAACUUUAGAGUCAGAGUAUGAGGUAUAGUAUGUUAAUAUUCUAUGUUUUGUAACAUUCUCAUUAGUCAUGACUGGUUCUAUUUCUCAAGAUAUAUUAAUAGUAAAGAAAAAAUAAGUUUAAUCUGAGUUUACAGUAUUUGGUAAAUUAUCUUAAAUUUGGAACCAGAAGUGCUGGGGAGUAAGUUCUAUAGCACCGGGUAUUAGACAGUGAGGCUUGAGUCUUGCAUAACAUUAUGUACAGCCUGACAUGCAGCCAAACAUAAAUUUUGUAGAUUUUCUACAAGGAGUCUUUCCUGUAAAUGGCCCCUAAACACAAUAUGUUCCCAUGACUCUUUCUUGUCAAUUUUGUCUCAUAUCCUAAGAAUUAUUUUAAAUUCUAAUAAGCAUUUAUACUUCAACAUAUCUGUAUAAUGGUGAUUUUGCUAGGAAUGGUAGCACAUGUUUGCUAUGCCAGUAUUUAGGGAGGCCAAGCUUGAUAGUUUGUAUAUGCUCAGCCUAGGGAGUGGCACUAUUAGGAUGUGUAGCCUCCUAGUAGUUUUUGGAGUAGGUGUGCCUUAUUGGAGUAGGUGUAUCCCUGUGAGUGUGGGCUUUAAGACCCUCAUCCUAGCUGCUUGGAACUCAGUCUUCUCCUAGCAGCCUUCAGAUGAAGAUAUAGAACUUUUAGCUCUUCCUGUACCAUGCAUGCCAGGACGCUGCCAUCCUCCUGCCUUGAUAAUAAUGGACUGAGCCUCUGAACCUGUAAGACAGCCCUGAUUAAAUGUUGACCUUAUAAGAGCUGCCUUGGUCAUGGUGUCUGUUCACAGCAGUAAAACCCUAACUAAGACACUAGACACUAGGAUUGCUGGUAGUUCAAAGCCAACUUAUACUACAUAGUGAGUUCAAGGCUAACCUUGGCUAUAUAAACUCUGUCUC